rnacentral:rRNA from 1 species
UACAGAGGGUGCGAGCGUUUAAUCGGAAUUACUGGGCGUAAAGCGUGCGUAGACGGUUAUUUAAGUCGGAUGUGAAAGCCCCGGGCUCAACCUGGGAAUUGCAUUCGAGACUGAAUAGCUAGGGUGCGGUAGAGGGAAGCGGAAUUUCCGGUGUAGCGGUGAAAUGCGUAGAUAUCGGAAGGAACAUCAGUGGCGAAAGCGGCUUCCUGGACC